rnacentral:rRNA from 1 species
AACGAACGCUGGCGGCAUGCCUAACACAUGCAAGUCGAACGAGACCUUCGGGUCUAGUGGCGCACGGGUGCGUAACGCGUGGGAACCUGCCCUUAGGUUCGGAAUAACUCCCCGAAAGGGGUGCUAAUACCGGAUAAUGUCUUCGGACCAAAGAUUUAUCGCCCUUGGAUGGGCCCGCGUUGGAUUAGCUAGUUGGUAGGGUAAAAGCUUACCAAGGCGACGAUCCAUAGCUGGUCUGAGAGGAUGAUCAGCAACACUGGGACUGAGACACGGCCCAGACUCCUACGGGAGGGAGCAGGGGGGAAUAUGGGACACUGGGCGAAAGCCUGAGCCAGCAAUGCCGCGUGAGUGAUGAAGGCGUGAGGGUUGUAAAGCUCUUUUACCCGGGAUGAUAAGGACAGUACCGGGAGAAUAAGCACCGGCUAACUCCGU